GAUGAACGCUGGCGGCGUGCUUAACACAUGCAAGUCGAACGGUGAAGGCGGAGCUUGCUCUGCUGGAUCAGUGGCGAACGGGUGAGUAACACGUGAGCAAUCUGCCCCUGACUCUGGGAUAAGCGCUGGAAACGGCGUCUAAUACUGGAUACGAGCUGCGAAGGCAUCUUCAGCAGCUGGAAAGAACUUCGGUCAGGGAUGAGCUCGCGGCCUAUCAGCUUGUUGGUGAGGUAACGGCUCACCAAGGCGUCGACGGGUAGCCGGCCUGAGAGGGUGACCGGCCACAAUGGGACUGAGACACGGCCCAGACUCCUACGGGGGGCAGCAGUGGGGAAUAUUGCACAAUGGGCGAAAGCCUGAUGCAGCAACGCCGCGUGAGGGACGACGGCCUUCGGGUUGUAAACCUCUUUUAGCAGGGAAGAAGCGAAAGUGACGGUACCUGCAGAAAAAGCGCCGGCUAACUACGUG
rnacentral:rRNA from 1 species